AAAAGGGUUAUAUGAGCAUCAGAGAAGCUGUCCACGUCAGCAAUUAAAUCAGCCAAUCAGGAGGCUUCUCUACGACACGUCAGACACGGAUUGAACAAAGACGAUCCCGACCCCUUUUCUUUUCGUUUUCUCCGUCAUCUUCGUUUCGUGCGAUCGCCGAUCUGGCUUACUAGCAAUCAAUCCCAUCUCCAUUCUUAAAUGCAAUUUGAUCUCAUUAAUGGAGACUCCUGGCUUUCUCGAUCUGAGAUUCUGUAUAUAUAGAUCUCGCACUCCAGCUCUUCUCUUCACCAAAAUCUUAAUAUCUACUCACGAUUAUAUUAUACCUCCGGCGAUGAUGUUAUCCGAUGUUUCCGAGACAGUGCAAGCGAGCAGUGAAGCUACGGUUCCCCCCGUUUCAGUCGAUCCCGUCAAUCAAACCAGUGUUUCCUCCGGCGAUGCCAAAGCCGGCGAUGUCAGUUCCGUGAAAUCAGAAUUUUAAUGUCAGUUCCGGUAGAUCUUACAAAAUUGUUUUCUGGGAGAUGAUGAGUAGAGUAUGCCCUAUAUAUGCAUGCUUAUGUUUUCGAAGUGAUCUGAAUAUUACUUGACUUUGUGCUUUCUUCGGUUUUCCAUAGUCGUAGAAUGCACUGCUUGAGUUUUGCGAGAGUGGUCAAGGCCAAAUAGCAAGUUGUAGAUGGAAUUCUGCAUCAUCUGAAUCUGGAGAUCAAGAAGAGGCUAUAAAGAAGAAGCCAUGGAUGAACUUCAACUAAUUACAUGAGUUUAUACCUGCGAGUGAUGAUGCGCCUACCAUACUCCCUCAGAUCUUGGUUGCCAAAAAGGUAAAUGUACUAUCUUUUCUUAAGGCACAUUAUUAAAUUGAAUUUUGCAUUCACGAACGCAAGCAUUUGAGUGGUUCACUCAGAAAUCAUGUUUCUUUAAUUUGUAUUGUAGAUUGGAAUUUUGUUCUUUUUUUUUUGUUGGAUUCGCCACACACCUCACCAGCUCCAAUGGCUUGAAUAGUAUUCUAUGUUCUUCUCGACUCAGUUGUUUUCUCCAUCUCUUUCUUUCUGUUCUCUUAUGGUUUUGUUUACAGAGCGUAUCAGCAUCCAGAUGAGCAACUUGGCAUAUAAUUGGGUUUAGCUCCAAGACGGAUCAAGAUUUGGUUUCAGAACCGAAGAACACAGACGAAGGCUCAGCUCAAGAGAGCUGAUAAUUGUGCACUCAAGGAAGAGAAUUAUAGGAUUCGUUAUGAAAACGAUGUCAGUAGAGAAGCUCUCAAAUACGCCACCAAAACUCUUACUUUGAUGAACAGAAGCUUUGAAUCGAAAAUGCUUAGAGAAGAGUGAUGUGAACAUGAUUUUCAAAUAUAGUUGGAUAAUAGCCAUCACAGCAGAGAUCAAGAUGGGACACAAGUUAAGAAAGACAACAACGGAUGCGGUGGUGGAAAUUCUUGUGGUGCCGUGUUCUCGCGGUGGUUUGUGGCGAGGUGAGGAGACAAGAGGGAUGAGAAGGGAGAUUGAGCCUGUUGUCUAGAAGUAGAUUACUCCUAUCCGCACUAUCAGAAGUUCUCUGACAAUGUAAACCAGUAAGUUCCUUUCCGAGUUGAUUUUUGUUAACGCUUCUUAGAUGGUUUUAAGGGCUUGCUGAAGUAGACCAUUAUGCAAAUCCAUGGACCUCUGAUUCAUUGUAUUUCCAUAAACUAUUCCUGCAAAACUAUUGUCCAAUUGUUUAAAGCGUUCAUGGACCACAAAGGUCUUAUUAUUCAUACACCUUAUUAAUUGCUUGCAAACGUUUAAUCUUAGGUACUGAUUUUGACUUUUCAAGGGUAUCUACAGGAGCAUCACUUCCUCUUUCUACUUGCUCUGCUAGCCAUCCUUCAAUCCCUUGAAGCACAUAAACAUCAACUCCAAGAGUGAAGAUAGCUUUUACAUUCUUUUGAAAAUAAGGUAGAAAGAUGAUGAUCAAAUUUUUAGUAUGCUAUUAGAAGUUAUAUUAUUAUUGUUUUUCUUUCUGAUUUUAGUUUGAUACAUGGCUUAUUAGAUUUUGGUUGUUAUAUAAUCUUUAUAAGUUCGUCUCUUACAUAGUUUAAAUUGUGGUAGAAGAAAGGAAGAACAAUUAUAUUUAAACAAGAUGAAGUCAGUCACCUUCCUCAUUUUAGCAUGAAUGAAUAUGCCCACUAUAGUAAAAAUUUAAUGUUAUAUACAUAUUUCAUGUAAAGUUGGAGGUUGGAUGACCGAGAUGUGAGCAGACGGUUUAUGAAAAAACAAAAAACACAAGAGUGACUAAACUAUUAGGAAGUACUUAAUUAACAUACUUAAGAACACUUGAGUAAGCAUAAAAAUGAAACAUAUGUUAAUGCUUUGCUCUUCAAGGUUGAGGACAAUAAAUAUAAAAACAAGAAGCAUUUGUAAAAAUGGAUGAUCUGAUGAUCAUGCAAGCCUAUUUCGUAUACGAGAAAAAACUCCAGUUAUAUAUCAUGUAUUAGCAUGUGACAACCAAAGACAACUAUCAUCCAAAGACAACUAUAUUAUAAACUUUUAACCACAAUGCAAAAUUUUAUACUUUGUUAGUAAUUAUUUUGCUCACCAACCCAUUCUGAGAAAAUAGCAUUGUUAUACAAAUAAAAUUAUGACAUUAUCCAAACUAAUUAUAUAUAUAAUGCAAAUACAUCAACUUAAAUGGAGAGGAACGAAAGAAAUCAAAAGAUCAAAUGUCCUAGUACCCUUAAAAGUUAUAAAUUUAACGGGUCUCAAGCCAAAAAAAA